ACCCUCUCCUUUGUUCAGCGGCUCUUGGUCUUAUCUUUUAUGAAUUUCGUAUCUCGUCCUUUAAUUUA
rnacentral:sRNA from 1 species